rnacentral:rRNA from 1 species
UACGUAGGGACCGAGCGUUGUCCGGAAUCAUUGGGCGUAAAGAGCGUGUAGGCGGCUUGCUAAGUCUUGCGUGAAAUCUCGGGGCUCAACCCCGAGCGGUCGUGGGAAACUGGCAGGCUAGAGUGCGGGAGAGGAGAAUGGAAUUCCUGGUGUAGCGGUGAAAUGCGCAGAUAUCAGGAGGAACACCGGUGGCGAAGGCGGAUCUCUGGGCCUUACCUGACGCUCAGGUGCGAAAGCUAGGGGAGCGAACAGG